rnacentral:rRNA from 1 species
CACGUAAGAAUCUACCUUUAGGACGGGGAUAACUUCUGGAAACGGAUGCUAAUACCCGAUAUGCUGUGGAGUGAAAGGAAUUUCGCCUAAAGAUGAUCUUGCGUCUGAUUAGCUAGAUAGUGUGGUAAUGGCGCACUAUGGCGACGAUCAGUAGCUGGUCUGAGAGGAUGGACAGCCACAUUGGAACUGAGACACGGUCCAAACUCCUACGGGAGGCAGCAGUGGGAUUACGUUCCGCAAGUGGGACGAAAGCCUGACGGAGCGACGCUGCGUAGAAGGAUGACGGCCUGGCGGGUUAGU